AUGAGAGAAACGGCGACGUUUAGUGAAUAUAGGGUUGAAAGAGUGACUCUUGAACUUCUUCGACCUAUCUUCUACUUCUCGGACUCAAUCAUGACGCGAUCUUUCUUUUCUCUUCACCUCCGAUUCCGCUCCGACACCAUGACGCCACCGUCUCUGUCGUCAUCUCAUCAUCCGUCUUUGCUUCGACUAGCAGUGCUUUCGUCUCUUCACUUCACGAACUCAGCUUCCAAGACUCUCUGGCCAUGA